rnacentral:lncRNA from 1 species
CCCAAGUGUCACACAAAUUGAAAUCAAAUCCAGGGAAGGUCAACCACAAGCCUAGAUGACCUGAGGCCACCAAGGGAACAUCCAUGGGGACUGCCAUGAAAGUGAACAAUCUGGCAGGCAACAAAAGAAAAACCACCACAACCAGAAUGUGAUUCCUGCCAGCAUGAAAGGUAGGGUGAUCAUCCCAGCCUGGAGUCAUCAAGGAGGCUUAAAGAAGAAGGCAGACCUGAAACAAGAAGAUACCACUGCACAUCAGGAAUAAACCAGCCAGCAAGAGUCAAUCAGAAGCCUCCUCACUCCUGCUCAUUUUCCAAACAGCUCAACACACAGGGCCAUCAGCAAAACAUGAAAAGUGAAAGUUGGUUUUUGCUAUCCCUUUCCUUU